UACGUAGGGGGCAAGCGUUGUCCGGAAUCAUUGGGCGUAAAGAGCGCGUAGGCGGCCCAGUAAGUCCGCUCUGAAAGUCAGGGGCUCAACCCCUGAAUGCGGGUGGAUACUGCUGGGCUAGAGUCCGGAAGAGGCGAGUGGAAUUCCUGGUGUAGCGGUGAAAUGCGCAGAUAUCAGGAAGAACACCAAUGGCGAAGGCAGCUCUCUGGGACGGUACUGACGCUGAGGAGCGAAAGCGUGGGGAGCGAACAGG
rnacentral:rRNA from 1 species